rnacentral:tRNA from 1 species
UCGUUGAUGGUUCGGGGUAGAAUUCUCGCCUUCCAUGUGGGAGACCUGGGUUCGAUUCCCAACCAAUGCA